AAGCAAAAACAAAAUACAAGUAAUUGUUGUAUUUGUUGAAUCGAUACCACCUUAUAUGAAUUCGCCUUGGUAUAAGUAUCACAAUCAUUUUUCACGCAAACGGUCUGGAUCAUUCUUGUUGGAGUGGCAGCACUAAUUUUACACUACUAGCACGAGGAAGACGAAAAUAUAAAAAUGAACUCACUAAAUGGGGAAAAAUACAUUUAAACGAAAUAAUAUGCACUUCAAGAAAUAUUUAGCGUAAAGGAAAUUUAUUGGAGCAAUGGCAGAACAUAUGUUUGUGUAUAAAUUCAUUUGUCAGUGCUACCAAACCGUACUGCCAUAUUAUCAGUGACACAAACCAAAAAGAGCGGAUCAUAAAUUGAACCAGAUCUCUAUCAGGAUCUUAUCGUUGUUGUUGCAUUUGCAUGCUAAUUUUUAUCCGGAUCCCGAUCAUUGCCCACGGAAACACAGCAAUUUUUGCCAAACAAAAUUUCUGCAUAACACCGACCUAACCCAUCAAAAGCAUACAUAUCCAUAUUUAUACAUAUAUAUAGAAAUAUGUAUUCAGAUCUCUGCGCAUUAGUAUAUAUUUUGCUAUCAUUUCAAGAGAGUUGUGCAACGUUUUCGCUUCCUUGUAGUUUUAACUUGGAGAGUGGCUAAAUAAAAGCUUGUAAAAGUCGCGUUUUAUAUACUUUAGUGACUAGUAAAUAAUAAGACACUGAUUUAUUUAGCAGUCGUCGAGCAUAGGCGCAAGUAUUUAUAUAUGUAAGUAUGUAUGUAUGUAAAUAUAGCUGAAAGCGACGUGAAGUCCAAGCAUGCCAACAAAUAUUGAUGAAAACGCAGAGAAAGACAAUUUCAAAGCAGCACAGCACAUCCACAUCCAACCGUAGCUCAUUUUGCCACAUAAUCGAGAUCGAGAGCGCCUCUAAACACAACAAACGUAAUAACCAGAAACAAGCUUCCAGUUAGUCAGGCAGAGGCAGAUAGGCAUAGCAGUGUCGCGCGCAUACAUACAAUUUUGUGAAUCG